rnacentral:rRNA from 1 species
UACGGGAGGCAGCAGUGGGGAAUAUUGCACAAUGGGCGCAAGCCUGAUGCAGCCAUGCCGCGUGUAUGAAGAAGGCCUUCGGGUUGUAAAGUACUUUCAGUCGUGAGGAAGGUGUUAAGGUUAAUAACCUUAGCAAUUGACGUUAGCGACAGAAGAAGCACCGGCUAACUCCGUGCCAGCAGCCGCGGUAAUACGGAGGGUGCGAGCGUUAAUCGGAAUUACUGGGCGUAAAGGGCACGCAGGCGGUUAAUUAAGUUGGAUGUGAAAUCCCCGGGCUUAACCUGGGAAUGGCAUUCAAGACUGGUUAGCUAGAGUCUUGUAGAGGGGGUAGAAUUCCAUGUGUAGCGGUGAAAUGCGUAGAGAUGUGGAGGAAUACCGGUGGCGAAAGGCGGCCCCUGGACAAAGGACUGACGCUCAUGUGCGAAAGCUGGGGAGCAAACAGGAUUAGAUACC